rnacentral:piRNA from 1 species
UAGAACUUCAUCUUUAGAACA